rnacentral:misc_RNA from 1 species
AAGUCGUAACAAGGUUUCCGUAGGUGAACCUGCGGAAGGAUCAUUAUUGAAUAUUCUUGAUGGGUUGUAGCUGGCUCUCCGGAGCAUGUGCACACUUGUCUUGACUUUAUUCGUCCACCUGUGCACCUUUUGUAGUCUUGGGGGUUGAGAGCGGUCGACUAUCGGAUGGCUAUGGCCUUUCCGGACGUGAGGAUUGCUGAGUGCGAAAGCAUACAGCUCUUCUCAAAUGACUUGCAAAACCUCUCCCUCGAGUACUAUGUAUUCAUAUACCACAUAGUAUGUUGUAGAAUGUGAUCAAUGGGCCUAUGUGCCUAUAAUAAUGAAAUACAACUUUCAGCAACGGAUCUCUUGGCUCUC